rnacentral:rRNA from 1 species
CCCCAGUAACGGCGAGCGAAGCGGGAAGAGCUCGAGCAGUCAAUCUCUGGCGCUGGUCGUCAGCGAAUUGUGGCCGGGAGAGGCGGGUGCACCCGAGGCGCCUCUGCCGAAGUUGACCUGGAAAGGCACGUCGGAGAGGGUGAUAACCCCGUGCGGGGCGGAGGUGCCGAAGGCCGCUACCGUCUUCCGAGAGUCGGGUUGUUUGAGAUUGCAGCCCAAACCGGGUGGUAAACUCCAUCUAAAGCCGAACAGCGGCACGAGACCGAUAGCGAACAAGUACCAUGAGGGAAAGGUGAAAAGCACUUUGGAAAGAGAGUUAAAGAGACCGCGAAACCGUUAGGAGGGAAACGCAUGCAGCCGAACUGGCCUUCGUCGGGUUCACGGGGUCGCGGCAGUCCUCGUCCGCGCCGAGCGGCACCCUCGCGGGGUCGUCGGCCGGAGGAGGUCUCCUUGCCCCUGCACUCCCGACGGUCGGGGCCGGCCAAGGGCGGUGGUGUCCGCGGCGAGGAGGACGGUCGGGUAGGUGAUGCAGCCGGCCCUCGGGUCGGAGGCGAGCUUAGAGCCGUCCGUUCGGCAGGUCGCGGGUCCACCGAGGAGAGCGGUGGCUCGUUUCACCCMGGCAGCGCAGGCCCGGCCUUCGGUCGGGGCCGGAGCGCUUCUGUCCGUU